UCUGUGGGUGUCGGAAGAUCGCAAAUCCAGCGCUCUGUACCUCGCUCGGCCCCGGCGCGGGGACGCGGCCGUGUAUUACUGCGCGCUGAGUGACACGGGCACAAGAACCGCGGCUGCGGCCGGGCACGAACCGCCGCGGGCGGGGACAGCAGGGGACAGCAGGGGAAAACAGGGGACAGCAGGGGACAACAGGGGGCGAUGCCGAUCCCCCGAGAGCGGACCGGGAACAGCCCCUUCCCAUCACUGAGACCCCCGAGGCAGAGACCGCUCAGAACGCCAAUGGCUGAGGGAGCCACGGCAGCUGCUGCUGAACGAGGGACAAACCCAGAAGGAGCAUUUCAGGCACUGCAAGGACACGCCAUUUCUCUGUCCCCUCGCUGCYUCCUUYGCUGYCCCCAGGGAGCCGUUUCCGGCAGCUCCGUCGCCUCGGGGCUGGGAGGUGCUUUCUGGCUCUUCCUCACUCAGCGAACACGCAGCUUUGCUCUCGCCAUGCACCUCGCAUUUCUCAUCCUCACGCUCUUCCUGGGCCAGAUCCUGGGCACCACUGGGCAGACCACAGUCAUGCAGGAAGGUGGACCAGUCAUGGUGAAGCAGGGACAGCCCUUCCAAACCACCUGCAAAUACCAGAUCAGUGGUUUUAAUGCCUUGCUCUGGUACCAGCUGCGGAAAGGCCAAGCCCCAGAGCUGCUCUCCUAUCUGUCAGGGCCUGGCCCCAGGCACAGCGGCCGUUUCACCACGGAUCUGAACACCACGGGCAAAUACAGUGUCCUGCGGGUGGAGGAAGUGGAGGUCUCUGACAGUGCCUGCUACCUCUGUGCUGUGCAAGACACCCUGGUGCAGGGAGCUUCCUGAGCUGUGCAACAACCCAGGGGAGGGAGGGGAGGUGUCUGUGCCAGGCUGAG